rnacentral:rRNA from 1 species
UGGGGAAUUUUGGACAAUGGGGGCAACCCUGAUCCAGCAAUGCCGCGUGUGUGAAGAAGGCCUUCGGGUUGUAAAGCACUUUUGUCCGGAAAGAAAACGUCGUGGUUAAUACCCGUGGCGGCUGACGGUACCGGAAGAAUAAGCACCGGCUAACUACGUGCCAGCAGCCGCGGUAAUACGUAGGGUGCAAGCGUUAAUCGGAAUUACUGGGCGUAAAGCGUGCGCAGGCGGUCCGCUAAGACAGAUGUGAAAUCCCCGGGCUUAACCUGGGAACUGCAUUUGUGACUGGCGGGCUAGAGUAUGGCAGAGGGGGGUAGAAUUCCACGUGUAGCAGUGAAAUGCGUAGAGAUGUGGAGGAAUACCGAUGGCGAAGGCAGCCCCCUGGGCCAAUACUGACGCUCAUGCACGAAAGCGUGGGGAGCAAACAGGAUUAGAUACCCUGGUAGUCCACGCCCUAAACGAUGUCAACUAGUUGUCGGGUCUUCAUUGACUUGGUAACGUAACUAACGCGUGAAGUUGACCGCCUGGGGAGUACGGUCGCAAGA